rnacentral:rRNA from 1 species
UACGUAGGCAGCAAGCGUUGUUCGGAGUUACUGGGCGUAAAGAGUGCGUAGGCGGUCCUGUAAGUUUGGUGUGAAAUCUCCCGGCUCAACUGGGAGGGUGCGCCGAAGACUGCAGGGCUUGAGUACGGGAGAGGUAAGCGGAAUUCCUGGUGUAGCGGUGAAAUGCGUAGAUAUCAGGAGGAACACCUGUGGUGUAGACAGCUUACUGGACCAUAACUGACGCUGAGGCACGAAAGCGUGGGUAGCAAACAGG